UAUGAGUUUUGGAUUAUGGCUCAGAUUGAACGCUGGCGGCAGGCUUAACACAUGCAAGUCGAGCGGUAGCACAGGGGAGCUUGCUCCCUGGGUGACGAGCGGCGGACGGGUGAGUAAUGUCUGGGAAACUGCCUGAUGGAGGGGGAUAACUACUGGAAACGGUAGCUAAUACCGCAUAACGUCGCAAGACCAAAGAGGGGGACCUUCGGGCCUCUUGCCAUCAGAUGUGCCCAGAUGGGAUUAGCUAGUAGGUGGGGUAAUGGCUCACCUAGGCGACGAUCCCUAGCUGGUCUGAGAGGAUGACCAGCCACACUGGAACUGAGACACGGUCCAGACUCCUACGGGAGGCAGCAGUGGGGAAUAUUGCACAAUGGGCGCAAGCCUGAUGCAGCCAUGCCGCGUGUGUGAAGAAGGCCUUCGGGUUGUAAAGCACUUUCAGCGAGGAGGAAGGUGGUGAACUUAAUACGUUCAUCAAUUGACGUUACUCGCAGAAGAAGCACCGGCUAACUCCGUGCCAGCAGCCGCGGUAAUACGGAGGGUGCAAGCGUUAAUCGGAAUUACUGGGCGUAAAGCGCACGCAGGCGGUUUGUUAAGUCAGAUGUGAAAUCCCCGGGCUCAACCUGGGAACUGCAUUGAAACUGGCAAGCUAGAUAUCUAUUGGG
rnacentral:rRNA from 1 species